rnacentral:lncRNA from 10 species
GGCGAAGGGCCGCUCGCCGGAGUGCACGCGCGAGUGCGCCACCAGCCCCGGACAGGAGCUGCCAUCUAUGAACCCCUAGAGCCCCGGACAUGGAGCUAGACUACUCUCCUGUUUCCUUGUGUGGUAUGUAUUAUUUCAAUCUUGGGUUUUUAGAUAACAUUUCAAGGAUGUUUGUCUUAUGUCUUUGUUGCCCUGGAAACUUCCAGAAGGGAGGGACUCUGAUACUAGAAUCCCCCUCAUGGCAGCUACCCCAGUGUCAGACAGGGAGUAAAUGCUCCAGUGCUGAAUGCACAAACAUUCCUGCCACAGGACUCACCAGAAAAUGUGGCCACUGCUCCCUACAGUGCCUUAUGCUGCCCUCUCCCUGUGUCUGCUGUUUCCUAUGCCACAUCCGAGCUGCACAGCAACUCUGAGAAGCUGGACAAACAGACACUGAGCUCCCUGUUUAACAGAUGAAGCAACUGUGAGACAUCAAAGAUGACGAGACCUGCCCAAGGAGGCUGGAGGACAAGUGAGAACAGCCCUUC